rnacentral:rRNA from 2 species
GCCGCGUGAGUGAUGAAGGGUUUCGGCUCGUAAAGCUCUGUUAUGAGGGAAGAACACGUACCGUUCGAAUAGGGCGGUACCUUGACGGUACCUCAUCAGAAAGCCACGGCUAACUACGUGCCAGCAGCCGCGGUAAUACGUAGGUGGCAAGCGUUGUCCGGAAUUAUUGGGCGUAAAGCGCGCGCAGGCGGCCUUUUAAGUCUGAUGUGAAAUCUUGCGGCUCAACCGCAAGCGGCCAUUGGAAACUGGGAGGCUUGAGUACAGAAGAGGAGAGUGGAAUUCCACGUGUAGCGGUGAAAUGCGUAGAUAUGUGGAGGAACACCAGUGGCGAAGGCGACUCUCUGGUCUGUAACUGACGCUGAGGCGCGAAAGCGUGGGGAGCAAACAGGAUUAGAUACCCUGGUAGUCCACGCCGUAAACGAUGAGUGCUAGGUGUUAGGGGUUUCGAUGCCCGUAGUGCCGAAGUUAACACAUUAAGCACUCCGCCUGGGGAGUACGGCCGCAAGGCUGAAACUCAAAGGAAUUGACGGGGGCCCGCACAAGCAGUGGAGCAUGUGGUUUAAUUCGAAGCAACGCGAAGAACCUUACCAGGUCUUGACAUCCUUUGACCACUCUGGAGACAGAGCUUCCCCUUCGGGGGCAAAGUGACAGGUGGUGCAUGGUUGUCGUCAGCUCGUGUCGUGAGAUGUUGGGUUAAGUCCCGCAACGAGCGCAACCCUUGACCUUAGUUGCCAGCAUUUAGUUGGGCACUCUAAGUGACUGCCGGUGACAAACCGGAGGAAGGUGGGGAUGACGUCAAAUCAUCAUGCCCCUUAUGACCUGGGCUACACACGUGCUACAAUGGAUGGUACAAAGGGUUGCGAAGCCGCGAG